rnacentral:lncRNA from 1 species
AACCCAUUCUUCUUACUAAAACAACGUAGUUUUGGUUAAUAAAUAAAUCCUAAAUUGCUUAUCCCUUCUCAUUUUCAUCUUGCCCUUUAUCUUUCUAAAUUUAUUCCUUCUCUCUAAUUCCUUCGUCCUCUUUCUUUAAUAUUUCAUCGUAAACCUCAACAACUCUAGAAACAAACGGUUGUCGUCGACCUCGUUUAUUGACAAUAUUUUCAUCCCAAAUUUCAUCAAAAAGUUCCCCUUUUCCUUUUCUUUCUUGUUAUCUAGUUGGUUUCUCGGAAAAUUCCCUAAAUUUUUCUAGACCUAAAGUCAAAACUCGCAGAUUCAAGACCCAAAAUAGCCUUCCUUUGUCGCUAAAAAACCCUUAUUUUUCACUAUGUUCUUCCCCUUGUUUUAAGCUUUUCUCUUCCAUAAACCCAAUCCCAAAACCUUCUAGAACCCUCAUAACUUGAAAACUAUUUUCUCUUUCCUAAUUUUUUUUGUUUUGUUUUUUGUUUACCUUUUUUUUGGGUAUUGUGUUGCUUGUUUAUUAUGUGGUUAUUUGGUGGUUAAGCUAGAAGGCGGGGAUAAUGGGAAGAGUAUGGGUAAAGUAGAGCUUUUUUAUUUUUAUAUUAUA